UACGGGGGGGGCAAGCGUUGUUCGGAAUUACUGGGCGUAAAGGGCUCGUAGGUGGCCAACUAAGUCAGACGUGAAAUCCCUCGGCUUAACCGGGGAACUGCGUCUGAUACUGGAUGGCUUGAGUUCGGGAGAGGGAUGCGGAAUUCCAGGUGUAGCGGUGAAAUGCGUAGAUAUCUGGAGGAACACCGGUGGCGAAAGCGACGUGCUGGACCUCAUCUGACGCUGAGACGCGAAAGCGUGGGGAGCAAACAGG
rnacentral:rRNA from 1 species